UUAAGUUAUUAAGGGCGCACGGUGGAUGCCUUGGCACUAGAAGCCGAUGAAGGACGUUACUAACGACGAUAUGCUUUGGGGAGCUGUAAGUAAGCUUUGAUCCAGAGAUUUCCGAAUGGGGAAACCCAGCAUGAGUUAUGUCAUGUUAUCGAUAUGUGAAUACAUAGCAUAUCAGAAGGCACACCCGGAGAACUGAAACAUCUUAGUACCCGGAGGAAGAGAAAGAAAAUUCGAUUCCCUUAGUAGCGGCGAGCGAAACGGGAAGAGCCCAAACCAACAAGCUUGCUUGUUGGGGUUGUAGGACACUCUAUACGGAGUUACAAAGGACGACAUUAGACGAAUCAUCUGGAAAGAUGAAUCAAAGAAGGUAAUAAUCCUGUAGUCGAAAAUGUUGUCUCUCUUGAGUGGAUCCUGAGUACGACGGAGCACGUGAAAUUCCGUCGGAAUCUGGGAGGACCAUCUCCUAAGGCUAAAUACUCUCUAGUGACCGAUAGUGAACCAGUACCGUGAGGGAAAGGUGAAAAGCACCCCGGAAGGGGAGUGAAAUAGAACCUGAAACCGUGUGCUUACAAGUAGUCAGAGCCCGUUAAUGGGUGAUGGCGUGCCUUUUGUAGAAUGAACCGGCGAGUUACGAUUUGAUGCAAGGUUAAGCAGUAAAUGUGGAGCCGUAGCGAAAGCGAGUCUGAAUAGGGCGUUUAGUAUUUGGUCGUAGACCCGAAACCAGGUGAUCUACCCUUGGUCAGGUUGAAGUUCAGGUAACACUGAAUGGAGGACCGAACCGACUUACGUUGAAAAGUGAGCGGAUGAACUGAGGGUAGCGGAGAAAUUCCAAUCGAACCUGGAGAUAGCUGGUUCUCUCCGAAAUAGCUUUAGGGCUAGCCUCAAGUGAUGAUUAUUGGAGGUAGAGCACUGUUUGGACGAGGGGCCCCUCUCGGGUUACCGAAUUCAGACAAACUCCGAAUGCCAAUUAAUUUAACUUGGGAGUCAGAACAUGGGUGAUAAGGUCCGUGUUCGAAAGGGAAACAGCCCAGACCACCAGCUAAGGUCCCAAAAUAUAUGUUAAGUGGAAAAGGAUGUGGCGUUGCCCAGACAACUAGGAUGUUGGCUUAGAAGCAGCCAUCAUUUAAAGAGUGCGUAAUAGCUCACUAGUCGAGUGACACUGCGCCGAAAAUGUACCGGGGCUAAACAUAUUACCGAAGCUGUGGAUUGUCCUUUGGACAAUGGUAGGAGAGCGUUCUAAGGGCGUUGAAGCAUGAUCGUAAGAACAUGUGGAGCGCUUAGAAGUGAGAAUGCCGGUGUGAGUAGCGAAAGACGGGUGAGAAUCCCGUCCACCGAUUGACUAAGGUUUCCAGAGGAAGGCUCGUCCGCUCUGGGUUAGUCGGGUCCUAAGCUGAGGCCGACAGGCGUAGGCGAUGGAUAACAGGUUGAUAUUCCUGUACCACCUAUAAUCGUUUUAAUCGAUGGGGGGGACGCAGUAGGAUAGGCGAAGCGUGCGAUUGGAUUGCACGUCUAAGCAGUAAGGCUGAGUAUUAGGCAAAUCCGGUACUCGUUAAGGCUGAGCUGUGAUGGGGAGAAGACAUUGUGUCUUCGAGUCGUUGAUUUCACACUGCCGAGAAAAGCCUCUAGAUAGAAAAUAGGUGCCCGUACCGCAAACCGACACAGGUAGUCAAGAUGAGAAUUCUAAGGUGAGCGAGCGAACUCUCGUUAAGGAACUCGGCAAAAUGACCCCGUAACUUCGGGAGAAGGGGUGCUCUUUAGGGUUAACGCCCAGAAGAGCCGCAGUGAAUAGGCCCAAGCGACUGUUUAUCAAAAACACAGGUCUCUGCUAAACCGUAAGGUGAUGUAUAGGGGCUGACGCCUGCCCGGUGCUGGAAGGUUAAGAGGAGUGGUUAGCUUCUGCGAAGCUACGAAUCGAAGCCCCAGUAAACGGCGGCCGUAACUAUAACGGUCCUAAGGUAGCGAAAUUCCUUGUCGGGUAAGUUCCGACCCGCACGAAAGGCGUAACGAUUUGGGCACUGUCUCAACGAGAGACUCGGUGAAAUCAUAGUACCUGUGAAGAUGCAGGUUACCCGCGACAGGACGGAAAGACCCCGUGGAGCUUUACUGUAGCCUGAUAUUGAAAUUCGGCACAGCUUGUACAGGAUAGGUAGGAGCCUUUGAAACGUGAGCGCUAGCUUACGUGGAGGCGCUGGUGGGAUACUACCCUAGCUGUGUUGGCUUUCUAACCCGCACCACUUAUCGUGGUGGGAGACAGUGUCAGGCGGGCAGUUUGACUGGGGCGGUCGCCUCCUAAAAGGUAACGGAGGCGCUCAAAGGUUCCCUCAGAAUGGUUGGAAAUCAUUCAUAGAGUGUAAAGGCAUAAGGGAGCUUGACUGCGAGACCUACAAGUCGAGCAGGGUCGAAAGACGGACUUAGUGAUCCGGUGGUUCCGCAUGGAAGGGCCAUCGCUCAACGGAUAAAAGCUACCCCGGGGAUAACAGGCUUAUCUCCCCCAAGAGUUCACAUCGACGGGGAGGUUUGGCACCUCGAUGUCGGCUCAUCGCAUCCUGGGGCUGUAGUCGGUCCCAAGGGUUGGGCUGUUCGCCCAUUAAAGCGGUACGCGAGCUGGGUUCAGAACGUCGUGAGACAGUUCGGUCCCUAUCCGUCGUGGGCGUAGGAAAUUUGAGAGGAGCUGUCCUUAGUACGAGAGGACCGGGAUGGACAUACCUCUGGUGUACCAGUUGUCGUGCCAACGGCAUAGCUGGGUAGCUAUGUGUGGACGGGAUAAGUGCUGAAAGCAUCUAAGCAUGAAGCCCCCCUCAAGAUGAGAUUUCCCAACUUCGGUUAUAAGAUCCCUCAAAGAUGAUGAGGUUAAUAGGUUCGAGGUGGAAGCAUGGUGACAUGUGGAGCUGACGAAUACUAAUCGAUCGAAGACUUAAUCAA
rnacentral:rRNA from 1 species